rnacentral:rRNA from 1 species
GAUGAACGCUAGCGGCAGGCUUAACACAUGCAAGUCGAGGGGUAACAUUGGUGCUUGCACCAGAUGACGACCGGCGCACGGGUGCGUAACGCGUAUAGAACCUACCUUUUACAGAGGGAUAGCCUUUAGAAAUGAAGAUUAAUACCUCAUGGCAUUAUAGAUUGGCAUCGAUUUACAAUUAAAGAUUUAUCGGUAAAAGAUGGCUAUGCGUCCUAUUAGCUAGAUGGUAAGGUAACGGCUUACCAUGGCAAUGAUAGGUAGGGGUCCUGAGAGGGAGAUCCCCCACACUGGUACUGAGACACGGACCAGACUCCUACGGGAGCAGCAGUGAGGAAUAUGGUCAAUGGAGCAACUCUGAACCAGCCAUGCCGCGUGCAGGAAGACUG